UACGUAGGUGGCAAGCGUUAUCCGGAUUUAUUGGGCGUAAAGAGAACGCAGGCGGUCUUUUAAGUCUGAUGUGAAAGCCUUCGGCUUAACCGGAGUAGUGCAUUGGAAACUGGGAGACUUGAGUGCAGAAGAGGAGAGUGGAACUCCAUGUGUAGCGGUGAAAUGCGUAGAUAUAUGGAAGAACGCCAGUGGCGAAAGCGGCUCUCUGGUCUGUAACUGACGCUGAGGUUCGAAAGCGUGGGUAGCAAACAGG
rnacentral:rRNA from 1 species